rnacentral:lncRNA from 1 species
GUUUCUACAAAGGUCUUUGUUGUAGCAUAAACAGUGAGCUGUGCGUUUCCCGGUGAGUCGCAGUGUUCACAGUUCUUACAGUUCAUCUCCUUCCAGGUAGAACAGUGCGAUGUGAGUCUGCGGUGAACCCUGGGGGCCAAGGGGCCAACCCAACAGGCGAGGCCGCCUGCAGGGGGCGGUAGAGACCACGCGUGGACACGCAUCUGCAGCACAACAGGGAGUAAAAGUAGAAGACUCGCGUGGCCUGUUGUUGUGUUCAAUUCUAUUGGACAAACAUUUGCAAAUGAAGCAAACUCCUUUUUUCUUUCCUGCUGCAUGUGAGUGUUUGUUUAGUUCUCCAGCUGAUCAAAGAGAGGAAGGGAAAGGGGGAGAAAAAAAGAAGACAAAACUGUGAUGAGUUUUAAAAAAACAAAAUUCCCCUGUAAUCACGGUAACUCAACCAGGAUAUGAAAUGGGAAAUGUGGCACGCAUGCGGUUUUUUGCGGGAAAAACCCCAGGAGGCGAGGUUUGUCAAAACGCCCGCACACGGUCCCCGUGGACGCCGCCCGCCGGGCCGGGGCGUCGCGGCGGACAAUGAGCCGUGUUUCCCCGACACAGAGACUCUGUGUCCGCCGCCGCGGCCUCCACAUCCCGCGCGCUCCCGACGGAGGCGAGUGGCUUCGGGUUCGGCGCAGCACGUCCCCGCGAUCAAUCACCGCAGCGCUGCGUCCCCGAGGGUGGUGGAGAUGCGGGGCACCAUCGUGGGCCGACAGCCGUGGGCCCCGGGCACCGGGCCCCGGGCCGCGGGUCAGCAUCCGCCGGUAGCGAAUGAAAAGGAAAAGGAAAAAGAAAGAAGUGGAGAGAAAAGUCGUCAUCCGUCCCAUCUGGUUGACAUUAAGGCCGAGGUUAUGGUCACAGUGCAGCCAUAA